rnacentral:rRNA from 1 species
ACGAACGCUGGCGGCGUGCCUAAUACAUGCAAGUCGAACGCAUUUUCUUUCACCGUAGCUUGCUACACCGAAAGAAAAUGAGUGGCGAACGGGUGAGUAACACGUGGGUAACCUGCCCAUCAGCGGGGGAUAACACUUGGAAACAGGUGCUAAUACCGCAUAAUUCCAUUUACUGCAUGGUAGAUGGAUGAAAGGCGCUUUUGCGUCACUGAUGGAUGGACCCGCGGUGCAUUAGCUAGUUGGUGGGGUAACGGCCUACCAAGGCUGCGAUGCAUAGCCGACCUGAGAGGGUGAUCGGCCACACUGGGACUGAGACACGGCCCAGACUCCUACGGGAGGCAGCAGUAGGGAAUCUUCGGCAAUGGACGCAAGUCUGACCGAGCAACGCCGCGUGAGUGAAGAAGGUUUUCGGAUCGUAAAACUCUGUUGUUAGAAAAGAACAAGGAUGAGAGUGGAAAGUUCAUCCCUUGACGGUAUCUAACCAGAAAGCCACGGCUAACUACG